rnacentral:rRNA from 1 species
GACGAACGCUGGCGGCGUGCUUAACACAUGCAAGUGGAGCGACGAACCAGGGCUUGCCCUGGGGCAAAGCCGCGAACGGGUGAGUAACACGUGGGUAACCUGCCCCGAUGACCGGGACAACCCGAGGAAACUCGGGCUAAUACCGGAUGUGGAACUCUCACAUCAGUGAGUUUUCUAAAGGUAGCUUCGGCUUCCGCAUUGGGAUGGGCCCGCGGCCCAUUAGCUUGUUGGUGAGGUAAUGGCUUACCAAGGCUCCGAUGGGUAGCUGGUCUGAGAGGACGAUCAGCCACACUGGAACUGAGACACGGUCCAGACUCCUACGGGAGGCAGCAGUGGGGAAUUUUGCACAAUGGGCGAAAGCCUGAUGCAGCAACGCCGCGUGUGUGAUGAAGGUCUUCGGAUUGUAAAGCACUUUCGACCGGGACGAAACACCCUUGGCUAACAUCCAAGGGCCUGACGGUA